UUCCGAAGUGUUGAGUUCCGUUCAGCGUGGCUUUCUUGUUCUGGUCACUAAACUCUGGGACAUGGAAGGGGGCUAGGAGGUGGAAAGUAACACAGUAUUCAUUUACCUCCCAGCCUACAGCA